rnacentral:lncRNA from 10 species
CCCACCUUCCUGGGGCAGCCAUUGAGGGCCUGGGAGGGAAGAGGCAGGGAGGAGGUGACUUGCAGCAAGCUUGUCUGGAAAUACCCAGAUCUGGUUGAUAAACCCUGCUCUCAGCAAUGGGUGCCAGUCUUCGGGGAGAGGAGCUAGUCCCCCAGCCCUGGGAUCAGCUCAGAACUCAACAGUCACAUCCUCACUACCUCCAUGCAGAGAAGAAGCAGAAGCAGUAGCGGGAAAACAUGUCCAGUAGCUGUGUGACCUUGGGCCAAACCAUCGCUGUCUCUGUGCUCAAUUUCUCCUGUGUAAAAAGUGCUUCUAAUGCACCUAGUCCGGUGCUAAGCACUUCAUGUGCAUUAUCUUACCUAUUCCUUGUUCCAGUAAUCUACUGCUGUAUUACAGAUUACCCCAAAACAUGGUGCCUUAAAGCAACAACAAUCAUAAUCUGUAAUUUAUGCAGGGUGCAGCGGGAUAGCUCAUCUCAGCUCCACAUGGCAUCAGCUGAGACAACUUAACUGUGGGGCAGAGAACCCACCUCCAAAAUAGCUCACUCACAUGAUUGGCAAAUUGGUUUUAGCUGUUAGCUGGGAGCUCAGCAGGAGCUAUCCACUGGGGGCAUGGGGGUGGGUCUCCAUUCCUCUCCAUGGGCUUCUUGGGCUUCCUCACAACAUGGCAGCCAGGUUCUGGGAAGGAGUAACUUAGGAGAACCAGGCACAAGUGCAUGGCAUUGUCAUGACCUAACCUCAGAAGUCAUAGCAUCACCUCCAUGCUACUCUGCUGAUUGAGGCAAUUCAAAUGCCCACCCAAGUUCAAGGAGAGGGAACUUCCACUCAACUUCUUGAUGAGAAAAUGGUGAGAUUCUACAAGGGCAUAAGGAAUGAGAGAUGUGGUUAUGACCAUCUUUGAAAAACACAAUCUGCCACAUUCUUCAAAACAACUGGAAGGUCAGUGCAAUUAUUAUUUCCAUUUUACAGAUUAGGAAACUAAGAAUUUAAGUCAUUCAGAGAAGUUAAGUAAUUUACCCAAAGCCACACAGCUUUGUGGCUGAGCAGGGUUGUGAACAUAUGCAGCCUGACUUCAAAACAUAGGGUUUUUCAAACUUUUUUUUUUUAGCUGCAAAACAUAUCCUCCUAAUAAAAUCUUCUGGGAGAGAUUUGUGAAAGGAGGUCAAAACAGAGUCAGUGGGGACUUGAACCCUGCCAUUGCCUCCAGGAUCCUCUCAGGAACUCAAGUUUCCAAAAAAGUUUGAAAAUCCCAAGGUACGCUGUUCUCCAAGUCAACAGGCAACAAGGAAAAAUCCCCUCCAUUGUCUGGCUGGUCUACCUGGUCUAGACUCUGCUCCUGUCAUCUUAUUUUAUGGGCUUCCUGGAUUGCUGUCUAUGUUAGCCCAUUCUCACACUGCUAUAAAGAACUAUCGGAGACUGCAUAAUCUAUGAAGAAAAUAGGUUUAAUUGACUCACAGUUCCACAGGCUGUACAGGAAGCAUGGCUGGAAAGCCUCAGGAAACUUACGCUCAUGGCAGAAGAUGAAGGGGAAGCAAGCACAUCUUUACCAUGGGGAGAAGGAGAGCAAGGGAGCAAAGAGGAAAGUGCUACACACUUUUUAACACCAGAUCUCACGAGAACUCCCUCACUAUCACGAGAACUCCCUCACUAUCACGAGAACUCCCUCACUAUCACGAGAACAGCAAGGGGAAAAUCCGCCCCCACGUUGCAAUCACCGCCCACCAGGUCCCUCCCCUAACACUGGGGAUUACAAAUCAACAUGAGAUUUGGGUGAGGACACAGAGCCAAACGGUAUCACUGUCCCUCCUCUGAGUUAAUCCCAGCAACCCAGGUGGCUUCUCCAUACCUGCCACCCUCAUCCCAACUCCCAGUUCUUGUUGGAAGUGAUGUUUAAAACAAACAGCACUGGCCGGGCACGGUGGCUCACGCCUGUAAUCCCAGCACUUUGGGAGGCCAAGGCAGGGAGAUCACAAGGUGAGGAGAUCAAGACCAUCCCGGCCAACGUGGUGAAACCGCAUCUCUACUAAAAUACAAAAAAUUAACAAGCAUGGUGGCGUGCGCCUGUAGUCCCAGCUACUUGGAAAGCUGAGGCAGGGGAAUCACUUGAACCCGGGAGGCAGAUGUUGCAGUGAGCCGAGAUCGCGCCACUGCACUCCAGCCUGGCGACAGAGCAAGACUCCAUCUCAAAAAAGCAAACAAACAAACAACAACAACAACAGCACUCUGCCAGGAAACUCCCAGCAAGACAGCUCAGAGUGACGGGGAGCAGAGAGGAAGAGCGGAGUGACUCAUCAAAGCCCCACCCAGGCUGCAUGCCUGGCUGCUCCAACAUCAGCCCGAGGCUUCCACCCAGCUCUGUCUGCCUGAACGUCACUUCCCAGGACGCCUGACGUAUUCCUUGCGUGGUGACUUUGACAUGAACACUACAAAAAGAGGGGUUUAAAAAUAGCCACCUUGUCACGAAGAAUAGGGAGGAGAGAUACCCCCUCCCCACGCAAAGGAAUGAGAUGGAGAGUCACCCAAGACUUCUUGGAGCUGUGCCCAUCAACGCCACUCCCUCCUCCACACUUUGCACCUGAUCAGGACCACUUCAUGGAGAUUUACUGAGGCCCCAUGCUCAGGAGUCUUUCUGCUGCUUUAAACAAGUCAUCUCUGUGCAUCAGUGUUGUCUGCCUCCUUCAUUCUCUCUCUUCCCAGGACUCAGCAAAGCUGAGAAAAACAGCUCACAGGGCUACCUGGUGACCCAGGAGACCCUGCCAGGGCAUUGCUUUGAGCCUGGCUCUGUACACAUGUGCACCUGGCUUCAAAUUUUCUCCCUCUCCCUCCCUUGCUGGGUGAUCUUGAGCAAGUGAUUUGACCUCUCUGGGCCUCAACUCCCAUAUCUGUAAAAUGGAGCCCAAAACACAG